rnacentral:sRNA from 1 species
GUUUGACAGAGUAAUUGAGCCUCAUGUUUGGUUGAUGUGGUGGAGAUUACUUAUUUUUAUGUACAGACCCCAACAUAAUUGUUACUUAAAGAUUUUGUAAUAGUGGAACAUGAGCAAUCCCUACUAUUAUAACAGUGCUUAUUUUAUGGACUGGUGUGUACAUAGUACUGUAGGAGGUGCUAUGGAGAUUUUUAAAAAUAGCUUAAGAAAAUAUUUGUCUUUUAAGAUACUUAAAAUAAAGCUAGAGAGGAAAGUAUGCCAAUGCUAGCAAACACAAACUGCUGAUUAUAAAUAAGUUUCAUUUAUGUGUAAUGGAAGAAAUUAGAGCAGUGAUGCUUAUGUAAUGAGGUUUGUCAAGGACAGCUUCUUGAAGAAGGUGAAUCUUCAGCGUGUCUUAAAGCAUAGAAUCUUCAUUGAUGACGAGAACACCGUCCACCCAGGUGUAUGGCACAGUAUGCAGAGAAGUUAUGUGCCAUACAUAUGUUUAGUCUGCAUAGAAUAAGCUAGUAUAUUUUUUGGCAUAGAAAUCAAACCUUCAGUAGGUGAAGUGCAGGUCUUAGGAGAAUAUUUAAGAAGGAUGUUGGAGAAAAUUAUUUGAGGAGUUUUGUUGCAUUUGUAGGUUGUGCCUGUGUAUUUUAAGAUGUUGAUCAUGUUAGAGAUCCAGAAGAAAUUUACCUUUCAGGGAAUAUUGCCAGUGAGUAUCUCAAUAUUUGCAUUUAUUUUAAAUGUUUUUCAUAGGAUACCUUUGUGGCAGUAUUUUCAUUUCUGUCUGGAAGGUUAGUGCACAUUUCUGAACAGGCUGCUUUGAUCCUGAAUCGUAAGAAAGAUGUCUUGGCGUCUUCUCACUUUGUUGACCUGCUUGCACCUCAAGACGUGAGGGUGUUCUAUGAGCACACUGCCAGAGCUCAGCUUCCUUUCUGGAACAACUGGCCCCAAAGAGGUAACAGGACCAAUGUUUAGAUGUCUGUCUUUCCUCAUCAAGAUCAGUUUCAUUCUUACAGGGAUAGUACGGAAAUUAACAUAUUAUUUAGAACAUGCACACUAUCUGGUUUUUCUUAUUCCUGUUAUAGAAAGUCAUGUGAUGAAAACAGCAUUUUUAAAGCCUCUGAUAACAUACUCAAUACAUUUGUUUCCAUUUUGUCACGUCUGUUUCACAGAUUAUAUGUCAGAAAUAUUAUUUCAUUACCAGCAUAUUGUAUAGUGGUUUAGUUGCUAUGAAGGCUCUGUUUCCUUUAAGUUAAAAUUAAAUGUUUUUCCUCCUUCA